rnacentral:rRNA from 1 species
UACGUAGGGGGCGAGCGUUGUCCGGAUUUAUUGGGCGUAAAGAGCGUGUAGGCGGCCAGGUAGGUCGGUUGUGAAAACUGGAGGCUUAACCUUCAGACGUCGACCGAAACCAUUCUGGCUAGAGUCCGGAAGAGGAGAGUGGAAUUCCGUGGUGGUAGCGGUGAAAUGCGCAGAUAUCAGGAAGAACACCCGUGGCGAAGGCAGAUCUCUCGGGCCGUAACUGACGCUGAGGAGCGAAAGCAUGGGGAGCGAACAGG